GAUGAACGCUGGCGGCGUGCCUAAUACAUGCCAGUCGAGCGAACAGACGAGGCGCUUGCUCCUUCGACGUUAGCCGCGGACGGGUGAGUAACACGUAUGUAACCUCCCUAUCUGACUGGGAUAACUUCGGGACACCGGCGCUAAUACCGGAUAAUAUUUCGCACCGCAUGGUUCGAUAGUGAAAGAUGGCUUUUCUGUCACUUAUAGAUGGACCUGCGCCGUAUUAGCUAGUUGGUAAGGUCACGGCUUACCAAGGCAACGAUACGUAGCCGACCUGAGAGGGUGAUAGGCCACACUAGAACUGAGACGCGGUCAAGACGCCUAAGGGAGGCAGCAGUAGGGAAUGGUCGGCAGUGGGCGAAAGCCUGACGGAGCAACGCCGCGUGAGUGAUGAAGGUCUUCGGAUCGUAAAAAUCUGUUAUGAGGGAAGAACAAACGUGGAAGUAACUGUGGACGGCGUGACGGUACCUAAUCAGAAAGCCACGGCUAACUACGUG
rnacentral:rRNA from 1 species